ACGCCAUUCUCUUAUUCUCUCUAUUUUCCUUCAAUUCUCUUAUCCGCCUCAUUCUUCUUUUCCUUAAUUCUCCUUCGUUUGUGAAAAUGUGUUCUUCAUAUGGAAACCCCCAAUCAAUUAUCAAUCAGUUGAAAAUUUUCUACAAAAUUAUGAAUACGUUUCCAUUAUUAUCGCUUAUAAACUAUUUAUUUAUAAUCGAAGAAUUCAAACGAUGAUUCGUUUCACCUAUUUCAUCAAUGGCGAAUAUGGGUAGAAGAAAAACAAUCGGUCUCUUCAACAUCACUGUGAUCCAUUCUGAUGCAUUUAGGUAUUUGUUUUCUCUUUCAUCUACACUUUCUUGAGGAUUCACGUAUGGAUCUGAUAAAAAUGGCGUCGCUGUUAUCGGCGGCGGCCCUGGCGGAUACGUGGCAGCGAUUAAGGCCACUCAGUUAUGCCUCAAAACGACGUGCACUGAGAAGCUUCCUUCGAAGGGGAGUCACAAUGCAUCAUUCAGGCCCUGGAUAGAUAGAUUUUGAAUUACGAAUUCUGUUUUUCUUAUGUUGAGUCGUGGUUAGGGUUCGUAAUAUGUGGACGUUUGGGAUGAAUGUCAGUUGGAAGGGCACUCAAAGUUUCACAGGUCAUCCCACAACCGCUAAUAUGUGCUAUUAGCAUAGAGGAAAGAAAACCCCCAACUGAGAGGCAGAAAGAUACGAAGAUGCUAGAGGUGUGUGUAUGCAAGAGAGAGCUUGGUAUCAAUGACGGCAAACCUACUAAUAAAACAACAAAUGUCGUUUAUAAAGAAGUCAGUACGGCGGCCACGUCCGGUUGUGAUCGGUGGCCAAUUCGCUGUGGUGAAAGGUGAAAUAAAUAUGCCCAUAAAGUGCAGCGAAUGAGACCACAACUUCUUAUGUUCCGGGGUGAUUUCGAGAGCAAAUCACAGUGUACAUGGCAGCAGCUAUCUGGGCUAUUAUGGCUAAGUAGGAGGUGCUCAGGGGCUGCAAAUGAUGGUCAAAUAACACCACGUAGUGGGGUGAUGGCUGCCAUAACAGAACGAAAAACGGAACAUCCACGUCAUGUGAUUUGGGUUCGGUUUUGGGGUUGAAUCAUGGUGUAUGUACAAAGCGUGAGUUCGAACGUUAUAGUUGGAAAUCAAUGAAGCGAGGAAAGUUAAAGCUAAGCGAGAAUGCGAGGUCCGACCGUACUUCCCAAAGGCAAGUCUCAUGCAAAGUAAGUCUUCAAUUCCAUUCUAUAUGUUCAUUUUUUUUCAUUUAUGUUGUACUUUUCCAUUUAGAUAGAAAGGCUACUACUACUACUACUGCUACUGCUGCCGCUGCCGCCGCCGCCACCGCCACCGCAACUACUACUACCACUAGCUCGAGUGCUCGACAUUUGGGACCAUGAGUGCAGCUGUAAUGGGCAGUCUUUGUAAUGCAAAGGAUGUUACAUAUGAAGGUUAACUGUUAACGGGUAAUAUAAUAAAGUAUAGCUUUUGAGGAGGCUUUAACGUUGGCUAUUAACAUCGUUCUGGCUUAUUUUAUUGCUAAAAAAUUGUAAUGAAAAUUCUAACCUAGGCUACGAUAGUGUAUCGUUGUUGGUUGGAUGGUCAUGUGGUUUAUUUUACUACCAAAAGCCAACCAGCAGCAACAAGCAUCUGUUCCGUACUUACGUGAGUAAUUUACUAUUUAUAUACAUUUUGUAGAUAUUUUUUUUUACUUUAAAACACUUUACACAACACAAAUGACUGCCGCAAAAAAGAUCAAAUACGACCCAAGUCAUUGGCCUUCAAACCGAUCUCUGUUAUCAACGAGUAUGAUGAAGCGGAACCCAUACAGAUAAAGAGUGUUAAAAGGUGGAUUCCAAACUUCUAGAAUGUAGAUCUCUUUUAUAUGUUCCUAGACAUGCACGUAAGCAUCAAUUAUCUUACAAGCCAUUUUACAUAUUUACUUAAACAAAGUCACUUAUACAUUUUUUUGUUAUCGUGUAGGUUGAUAUACAACUUGCUCUUGCAUCACUUUUUAAUUUGUUGCCAUGUUUUAUUUAGUUUCACAGGUCAUCCCACAACCGCUAAUAUGUGCUAUCAGCAUAUAGGAAAGAAAAACCCCAACUGAGAGGCAGAAAGAUACGGAGAUGCCAGAGGUGUGUGUAUGCAAGAGAGAGCUUGGUAUUAAUGACGGCAAACCUACUAAUAAAACAACAAAUGUCGUUUAUAAAGAAGUCGGUACGGCGGCCACAUUCGCUUGUGAUUGGUGGCCAAUUCGUUGUGGUGAAAGGUGAAAUAAAUCUGCCCAUAAAGUGCAGCGAACGAGACCACAACUUCUUGUGUUCCGGGGUGGUUUCUAGAGCAAAUCACAGGGUACAUGGCAGCAGCUAUCUGGGCUAUUGUGGCUAAGUGGGAGGUGCUCAGGGGCUGCAAAUGAUGGUCAAAUAACACCAGGUAGUGGGUGGCUGCCAAAACAGAACGGAAAACGGGACAUCCACGUCAUGUGAUUUGGGUUCGGUUUUGGGGUUGAAUCAUGGUGUACGUACAAAGUAUGAGUUCGAACGUUAUAGGUGGAAAUCAAUGAAGCUAGGAAAGUUAAAGCUAAGUGAGAAUGCGAGGUCCGACCGUACUUCCCAAAGGCAAGUCUCAUGUGAAGUAAGUCUUCAAUUCCAUCAUUCGCAACAGUGUGUCCAUCAUAUUAAUGGUGAAUGGACCUGAAGACUGACUUAAGUUUAAACUCUGACCAGUUGUAUUAGUUGAAUUAGUGGUGAAAAACCCUGAAAACUGAUUUAAAUUUAGACUCUGAGCAGUCGUCUUUGUGGUGAAAAAACUCGAAAAGAACACUCACUAUCACCAAGAUCACACCGGUUGGAAUGUGGAUCUGAAAGCAAGGUAUGGGUCAAAGGUUAGCCUUUUAUGAUUUUUGGUGCAAUUUAUAAUGUUUUACGCUCAACAUAAGAAAGAGAUGAAGUAUAUACUUUUUUAGAUUGUUCAUUUCUCCACUAAUGAUUGCAUUUUUGAAUCUUUAGAUGUCAUGUAGCAGCCUACAUUCUAUCAGAGAGUACACACGUUUUAAAUGUCUUUGUCAGUAAAUGCAUACUUUGUACUACCAAAUUGUUCUCUCAUAGAAUAGUUCUAUCUAUAAGAUUUGUAAGGCAUAGUUGCAGUUAUUGAAACAUGAGAACCGGGGGUGUUACAACGGCUACUGUAAAUUCAACCUUAUUUGAGUGUAUAAGCUCUGUCUAUUAUAAUAAACAAUUUAAAUGCUAAGAUUAACAUCCUAUAUGUAAAUUGUGUUUGGUAGUUAAGCAUUUUUUUAAUACUUUUUGGUGAUCUUACUGGAGAAAUGGAUGAGGGAUUCAAUGGGAUUGGCACCAGAAGAAUCUACGGGUUUUGUAAACGGUGGUUUAUUUCUAGAAUCAUUAGGCAAUGUUCCUUUAGCUUGCUUUCGCUACUGAACACAACCAAGUCUUUUUUUGUUCGUUAGGGUGGCUUGGCGGAGUUGGGUUCUUUUGUGUGACAUUGUCGGUAAAAGAUAAAUUCCCAGCCAAGGGUUUGAUGGGAAAGACGACCUUUUGGAACAUCAAAGGGGCAAUUUGACCAAGCAUCUUUGAGCUGGAGUUGUAGCUGCUAUGGUCUCAAGGUCACCUUUUUAUUAGAACAAAGGAUCUUUCGAAAGAAACAUUUUUAUGCGAUUAUUUAUAUUACCAUCUUAUUUCCAGUCUGUAUUCACAAUUUCCGUUGCACCACUUGAAAGGCUGAAGCUGGAAUAUAUGGUUCCAAGAGAACUAAAACAUCUUAUUGAGCUAAUCCAGUCAGUCAUGAUUAAAGGGUUUUAUCGGAUUAAAGUGUACUUAAAAUUCAUUUUGUUGUAUUAUGUAUGAUUUGUUCAUAUAUGCAGUUGGGCGUUGACACUCUCAGUGAAAGCACUUGACAUAUACCUGAAAAUCGAUACCGAGCUGGCACUUGAAGUUGGAAGGCACACAAAACGAGCAAUGCCUCUGUUAAUACGAUAAUUGGGGAGGAUUUAAGUGACAUGGCAGUGGAAUAUUGAGUUUGUCCAUCCAAGAAGGAAGGUGGCAUGCUUGGUUGGGUGAGAAAGGGCCAAAUGGUGCCAGAGGUUGAGGAAGCUGCAUUUAACGCCCCAUUAAACAAGAACGCAUUGAGUGAAUGUCUAGAGUUCGUUUGACUUGAGCAGGGUUGGUUGGUAAGCUGGUGCAAGGGUCCAACCUUCUUUAGUCUUUAAGUGACCCGCCAUAGCUAUACAUGGUAAUCAUAUAUUCAUAAUAUCUGUGUCUCUUCAUUUAAAUAUAUUUAUGUAAUUUGUAAUCUUUAAUAUUCAUGUUGAAUUUAUUUACUUUUUAGAGGAAAAAGUCAAUUAUAAUUGAACCUGAUCAUAGGAUAUACGAUAACAAUUACCCGUUAGGCACGGUAACCAUAAGUACAGGUGUAGGUUAGGCAUGGAAAGUGAGGAUUAGGCAAAUAGCUGAAAAGUAUUUUCGAACGGAUGGGUGAAUCAUGGCAUAAGAUCUAAAACUGUUAGCGGUUUUAUUUCUUUAUUUUAAUUGAAUUUUUUGCUAGAUCUGAUCUUUUAUCAUUUUUUAAGAUAUGACGUUUUGAUGUUUUCGAAUUGUAGAUAAAAGCUUCCGUAUAGUUUAUGUUUUGCUCAUGGCCCAAAGCUUUUGCUCUUUUGAUUUUUGUCCUUAAAUCAUAAUUUAUGCGUUUGAAGAGGGGUAAGAUUUUCCUUCUGUAUUUGGGCGCAGCUUCAAGUGAUAAAUUGCAUGUGUUUCAUUAUUAAUUGUUGGGUUUGUUGUUGGCAAUCAUGCCAGGCACAACACCAGAAGGUACCAUUUUAAUACUCUUCACUAGACUUGAAGAUGAAGUUGUAAGUUUGUCACUAUGAGUGUGGUUGUGUAUCUAUUAUAGCUACCUUGGAUGGCCGUAGUUACUUUUACUUAAGAAGCAAUGAGCAAGUGGUUUUAAAACAUGUCUUCCACAUGCAUGCUGAUGACAUACCUUUGUUGGUGCUAUAUGUUUUAUUUAUGGACAUGACUUUUUUUGCAUUGUAGUGUCUCGAGAUAAAAAUAAAAUUCCUGUCCAUCAUAAGGACUUUGCUAUGUAAGAAAAAAAGCUUACAAUUGUUUAUUUAUAUAAAUUUGUGCUAUGAUGUAUUCUAUUAGUUUGUUGGUUGUUAACUUUGACAGCCUAUAGACCGAUUUGUGGCGAACGGGUAUGGUCGUGUAACGGGUAAAAAAACAAACCCGACAAGCCGAGACAUAAUGUCCAAGUUACAUUGCGCAGUAUGUGAAAAGAACGACCAAAGUGCAUAAUCUGGACCAAAAAUCAAGCCAAUUCUAUUACGUACAAGUCAUAUUUCGUAUUCAUGUAUUUCCAUUAAGUGUAAUUUUAUAUUUACGUUAAUACCGGAAAGAUUCUCUCAUUAAAACCUUUA